rnacentral:ncRNA from 1 species
AUAUUCAACGAUAACUUUGAAGGCCGAAUUGUAAAAGGGUUCCAUGUGAACAGCCGUUGAACAUGGGUCAGUCGGUCCUGAGAGAUGGGCGAACGCCGUUCCGAUUGGACGGGCGAUGGCCUCCGUUGCCCUCGGCCGAUCGAAAGGGAGUCGGGUUCAUAUCCCCAAAUCCUGAUUGACGGAUACUGGAGCACCGAUGCUCCAAGAGCAGAAAAACCACGGAUCCCGGAUAAACCGGUUGGAGAUCCGGGGAGAGUUCUCUUUUCUUUGUGAAGAUGAUUGCACCCUGUAUAUUUCUCGCCCCUGGAGAGGGGCCCGCGCCUUGGAACAUCUCACGGCUCCCCAGAAGCUGUUUUUGCCAAAGGUUGGGUAGUCUUGCCCUAAACAUGUGUACUUUAAUUGCAUCCAGUGCCUUAAGGGGACUGAUA